UACUCCCGUGUUUCUUGACCAAAACCCCCUGGCAUCACAACAUAGAAUGAAAAAUUUCAUCAACAAAUGCCUGGACCUGGAACCUGGGGUACACUACAACGACGAAUAUUUUGGUUCGAAAGAAGCCUAUGACGAAAAAGUGACUCCUUUCACUGAAGAAGAAUUGAAGAAUUUACCAGACAUGAGUAAAUACAAGUCAUGUAUUCCAUACAGUAUCGACUCCGUGAAACCCAUGAUAAGAUAAAUUACGACUGCAUAUCAAACCAUGCCUUCUCCUGAGAUAAACAUGGUACUGGAGUGAAUAAUAACCACAAUUUGUAUAACAAUAUAUAAUAAGAAUAAUAUAGGACACUUAUAUUCUCAAUUACUCUCGAAAUAUAUAAAUUACAUGUAUAACAUUUUUAACCAAAACGGUAAGGUAGCAAUACGUGUAUGAACAGUGUUUCUUUUUCGCCAUGUGAUUUGCUUGGAUAUAUCAGUACAUUUAACAUUUUUCUGCAUAUUUCAUAUUUAAUUAAUAGUCACAACAUAGGUUGACAUUAUUGUGCAUUCAAAUGAUUACGUGUCCUGUUAAAUCAUUGUUAAAUUGUCACGCUGUGUAGUAAGCAUGCAAUUCUUGAGUCAUUUAUUAUAAUAAUAAUAAUAAUAAUAAGUGAUUUAUAAUUAACUCGCAUUACACGUGGCAUAUAGUGCAUACAGUCUGGGAGCAUACCAGGCCAUUGUGUAUCCUAGUGUGGGUGAGAGUGAGUGAGCGAGUGAGUGAGAGUGAGUAUGUAAAUUGGUUAAAAACGUUUUUUUUAAUGACAUGCUAUUCUAUAUUUUGAUAUUUUUUUGUUAAUUGUGUAUCGGAACCGUUUCACUUAGUUUGCAAGUUGAAUUAUUUCUGACUUUCUGUUUUCACGGCCAACUGUUGGUCAUUUUCACGGUGUACGGAAUUGUCUUGACUUACGUGUCAAAGAGUACGCCAUCAGCUAAUAACAAUCGUAUGUUAUUUUUUAUCAGUUGACAUUUUUGAUUCAGUGGUAUAGCCAGAAGAAGACCUACUCCAGUAAUAAACAGUAAUUUCUAACUAAGAA